UGCUUUCCUGAGAAUUCUGAAUUUGUAAUCAUGGUCUGUCUUGGUGAGGGAAGAGGGGAUGAUGCUAGACAAAUCUGAGAAAAUUCAAGACAGGUUUUAUACAAUUACAACCCAUGAAAAGAAAACAAGGCGCCAGUGUGUUUACUAAGAAAAUCGUGAUCACAGGUCAAUCCUCAUGGUGAAGUUGGAAAUCAGCCUGAGUCUUGGGGAGAAGGUGGGAGACACACAGGGCAGAUGCCGGAUAAGAGAGGAAGUUCGGAGUAAGAAGGCAUCAAAGGAUAAUGGAAGGUAACUUUGUUGAUCUUUCAGGGAAAGACUCAUAUAUCCCACCAAUUACAAAUAAUCGUGCUAAGAAAAAAAAAAAAAAAAAAAAAAUGAGACAGUAUGCUCAGUAUGGGCUAAUGGGCUUUUAAAACCCAUAAUCCAUGAAUACCCAGAAGAGGAACUUUGACCUCUGUCGAGAAGGAUUUGCAGCUGGCAACAUUGUGAUCGAUAAUAUUAUAUUGUUUAAGUAUAGUGAUUAUACAGGUAA
rnacentral:lncRNA from 1 species